rnacentral:rRNA from 1 species
GCGCAGCAGUCGCGAAACCUUCGCAAUGCGGGAAACCGCGACGAGGGACUCCCAGUGCCUACGCUCAGCGUAGGCUGUUCCCGAGCCUAGAAAGCUCGGGGAGUAAGGGCUGGGUAAGACGGGUGCCAGCCGCCGCGGUAAUACCCACAGCCCGAGUGGUGGCCACUAUUAUUGGGCCUAAAGCGUCCGUAGCCGGCCCGGUAAAUGCCUGGGUAAAUCGUGAGGCCUAACCUCACGAAUUCCGGGUAGACUGCCGGGCUAGGGACCGGAGGAGGGAGAGGGUACUCCAGGGGUAGGGGUGAAAUCCUGUAAUCCCUGGAGGACCACCGGUGGCGAAGGCGCUCUCCUAGGACGGGUCCGACGGUGAGGGACGAAAGCCAGGGGAGCGAACCGGAUUAGAUACCCCUGUAGU